rnacentral:rRNA from 1 species
CCUACGGGAGGCAGCAGUGGGGGAUAUUGCACAAUGGGGGGAACCCUGAUGCAGCGACGCCGCGUGGGUGAAGAAGCGCCUCGGCGCGUAAAGCCCCGUCAGCAGGGAAGAAAAUGACGGUACCUGAAGAAGAAGCCCCGGCUAACUACGUGCCAGCAGCCGCGGUAAUACGUAGGGGGCAAGCGUUAUCCGGAUUUACUGGGUGUAAAGGGCGUGCAGCCGGGAAGACAAGUCAGAUGUGAAAUGCCGCGGCUUAACCCCGGAACUGCAUUUGAAACUGGUUUUCUUGAGUACCGGAGAGGUCAUCGGAAUGCCUGGUGUAGCGGUGAAAUGCGUAGAUAUAAGGAAGAACACCGGUGGCGAAGGCGGAAGGCUGGACGGCAACUGACGGUGAGGCACGAAAGCGUGGGGAGCGAACAGGAUUAGAUACCCCAGUAGUC